rnacentral:rRNA from 1 species
UACGUAGGGGGCAAGCGUUGUCCGGAUUUAUUGGGCGUAAAGAGCGUGUAGGCGGCCAGACAGGUCCGUUGUGAAAACUCGAGGCUCAACCUCGAGAUGUCGAUGGAAACCGUCUGGCUAGAGUCCGGAAGAGGAGUGUGGAAUUCCUGGUGUAGCGGUGAAAUGCGUAGAUAUCAGGAGGAACACCGGUGGCGAAGGCGGCUCUCUGGACGGUGACUGACGCUGAGACGCGAAAGCGUGGGAGCAAACAGG